rnacentral:tRNA from 1 species
GAGGGCAUAGCUCAAGUGGUUGGUAGAGCACAUGCUUAACAUACAUGAAGUCCUGGGUUCAAUUCCCAGCACCUCUU